GACGAAGGGGGCUAGCGUUGUUCGGAAUUACUGGGCGUAAAGCGCGUGUAGGCGGUUGCCCAAGUCGGGUGUGAAAGCCUUGAGCUCAACUCAAGAAAUGCACUCGGUACUGGGUGACUAGAGGACCGGAGAGGAUAGUGGAAUUCCCAGUGUAGUGGUGAAAUACGUAGAGAUUGGGAAGAACACCAGUGGCGAAGGCGGCUAUCUGGACGGUUUCUGACGCUAAGACGCGAAAGCGUGGGGAGCAA
rnacentral:rRNA from 1 species